rnacentral:rRNA from 1 species
AACGAACGCUGGCGGCAUGCCUAACACAUGCAAGUCGAACGAGACCUUCGGGUCUAGUGGCGCACGGGUGCGUAACGCGUGGGAACCUGCCCUUAGGUUCGGAAUAACUCCCCGAAAGGGGUGCUAAUACCGGAUAAUGUCUUCGGACCAAAGAUUUAUCGCCUUUGGAUGGGCCCGCGUUGGAUUAGCUAGUUGGUAGGGUAAAAGCCUACCAAGGCGACGAUCCAUAGCUGGUCUGAGAGGAUGAUCAGCCACACUGGGACUGAGACACGGCCCAGACUCCUACGGGAGGCAGCAGUGGGGAAUAUUGGACAAUGGGCGAAAGCCUGAUCCAGCAAUGCCGCGUGAGUGAUGAAGGCCUUAGGGUUGUAAAGCUCUAUUACCCAGGAUGAUAAUGACAGUACCGGGAGAAUAAGCUCCGGCUAACUCCGUG